rnacentral:lncRNA from 1 species
UUUUAACCCAAUAACUGAACCCUCAAAGCCCACAAUGAGGACUUUUCUGUCCAAUUACAAAACAUCACCCAAACCCAUGAAGGAGAAAGAAGAAGAAGGUGAAGAACAACCUGCCUCCACCCUAAAACCUCCAUCUUACUUCAUGUUUAUUUCUAUAUUCGAAAACCCCAAACUCUAAGUUUUCCACCCUGUGAUAUUACACACUUCUAACCAACUACACACCCACAAUUACAGUGCUAUUAAUAAAUUUUGGAAAACUUCUCCACAGCCUCAGGUCAAAUGCAGUGCUCUCUUGUGGGUCUGUGCCUUUCAGCACAGAAAGUUUAAAAUUCUCAGCAUCCAGGAUUCCAACAUCCAAAUCUGCUCGGUGGGACGAUGGAGCUCUUGUAUGGGAACAGAAAGGACCAAGAUGAGAAAACUCAACUCCUGCUUUGUGCCAGGAAACAAUUCAGAAGAUAUUUCUGAAUCACUUCUCUUAGAAACAAGCCCAAAAUAUCUCCUGGGAUGCUUC